CUUAGAUUAAGCCCUGUGAAAAGAGUCUGGGAACAAGAAAGCUGAAAUGAUAUGAUGACCAAGCAGAUCCAGGCACCUCAUUAGGACCUUCUUCUUCACUCCUAAGCCAAGAAGGAAGAGAAAAGAAGGAAAUGAAAAUAUGCAUCUAUUGCAACUCUAGACAAGAGCAUUCUGGUGUCACUGAUGCUGCCACAUCCAAGAAGACCUGAAUAUCUCUACAGGAGUCCGUCUGCAUCAGCUUUCUGAAAUUUCCUCUGGAAACUGUAUGCACACAUUUCAAGUGCCAAGAGAGAAGAGCAAAAAAAUAUGAUGUUUACAGAGUUUACAAUGAGAGUUUAUUUGGACUUUUAUCAUUAAGGCUCUUUAGUUAUGGUAAUGUCUUUUUUCCUCAUGCAAAGGAACAGAGAGCAAAUAUAACACCAAAGGUUUUACAGAUGAGUUCCUAUGAUUUGAUUGAACCGUUGCAGUUGGAUUGUCUGUGUACUCACAU